rnacentral:misc_RNA from 1 species
GAAUUCUUGUAUCAGUCCGGGGAUGAGUUCUACAAAUAUGGUUGGCUUGUGUAGUAACAAUCUUGGAGGUGGGGAGAUAGAGACUGUUAAGUUGGAACCUAUAUUGGUUGAAAGUUUAAUUCCACAAAUGGAGUGCUGUGAAGCUGAUUCCUUGCCAUAUAAAAAAUCCUCAAGCAGCUGUGGGAGGCAAGAUUCUACAGCUACUGAACAGAGUAGAACUUCCGUCUUGGAUCAAGAUCAGUCUCCGAUAGAUGAUUCAAGCCUAUGUUCUACAUCACAAAUAUGUCCAGCACCCCUAUCUCGCCAGUUCUGGAAAGCUGGAAAUUAUGAUGAGGGGCAUGCUACCAAGUCCACCCUUAAAAAAGGCUCCAGUUUCUUGCACAUUCACCCGAAGUUCCUUCACUCAAACGCCACUUCCCAUAAGUGGGCAUUUGGUGCCUUGGCAGAGCUCCUUGACAAUGCUGUUGAUGAGAUACAAAAUGGAGCCUCCUUUGUUAUUGUAGAUAAAACACCAAAUCCAAGGAACGGGAGUUCAGCUUUAAUGGUUCAAGAUGAUGGCGGUGGAAUGGACCCAGAAGCCAUACGUCGUUGUAUGAGCUUUGGGUUUUCAGAUAAGAAGUCAGCUUCAACUAUUGGACAGUAUGGAAAUGGUUUUAAGACCAGUUCAAUGAGACUUGGGGCAGAUGUUAUUGUCUUUAGCCGCUGCAAAAAGAACAGGAAAUUGACACAAAGCAUUGGGCUUCUAUCUCAGACAUUUCUGACUCGAGCAGGCCUUGACAAAAUAGUGGUUCCUUUGCUUGACUUUGAGUUCAGUGCAGCAGCUAAAAAAUGGAGUUCAUUACACGGUGAACAACAUUUUAGGAAUAACCUCUCGUUGUUGUUGCGCUGGUCUCCAUUUGCUACAGAGGCAGAGCUUCUUAAGCAAUUUGAUGACAUUGGUGAUCAUGGUACAAAGGUGAUUGUCUACAAUUUGUGGUAUAAUGAUGAAGGAAGAAUGGAGC